rnacentral:lncRNA from 1 species
GGUUCUGAGACCCUGGGUCUUAGAGAGAAAAUGGAUAGAGUGUCAUUAAAAAGUAAAUGACUAGGGCUGGAAAAAUGGCUCCUAAUAAGGUCCUGGGUUUGAUUCCCAGAACCCACACACGAAACAGCCAGGGGUCCAAAAACAAAAUAAGAGCUGGCGAGCUAGCUCAUCAGUUAAGAACACUUGUUACUAUCACAAAGGACCUGUCUUUAGGACCCAGCAUCUUCCACAUGCUGCCUCUCAACUGCCCAUAACUCCAGUUCUCGGGGACUCAAAGCCUUCUGGCUUCUACAGAUGUCAGGCACAUAUGUGGUACACAUAUACGCAACAGGCAGAACACUUAUAUACAUAAAAUUAAAAAAAAUACCAUGAGAUGAGAACAAAAAAUAGCCUCGUGUGAUGGCACACUCCCAUAACCAGAAUUUGGGAAGCCGAGACAGACAGGGCUCUGUGAGUUCCAGGUCAGCCCAUACAUACUAAGAUCCUGUUUCAGAAACAAAAGCAAGUCAGGCAUGGUGGCAUGCAUUUAUAUUCUCAGACCCGGGGAAGACCCUAAGGCAAGCCAGCCUCUUCUGCUGGGUGAGCUCUAGUCAGUGAGAGAGCUCAUCUUAGUGGGAGUAAAAAGUAGCCACACAGUGGUGGCGCACGCCUUUAAACCCAGCACUUGGCAGGCAGAGGCAGGUGGAGCUCUGAGUUCAAGGCCAGCCUGGUCUACAGAGUGAGUUCCAGGACAGCCAGGGCUAUACAGAGAAACCCUGUCUCAAAGAUAACAGCCACAACAACAACAACAAAAAUAGACAUUCCCUGAGGAACAAGGCCCAAGGUGCCACAUGUAUGUAUACACACACACACACACACACACACACACACACACACACACACACACACAUACACACAAGUAAAGGACUCGUGAGCUCACAGUGAUAGUAACAAUAGUUAUGUUGAAGAUAUUGGCAUAAAAAUUAAUUCUACCAGGAAUUCUAUAAUCUUUGUCUGUAAGCAAGGCCCAAGGCUCGAUCCUCAGUACUGGGAAAAAAAAAAUCUAAAUGUCUAAAACUAGGCAAUGGAAAAAUGUUUUGACUUUCUAAGAUAUGAACGACCCCCAUCCCCUGCCAGUGAAGGCAGCAGACCCCUUCUGUGCUAGUGCCAGCUUCCCCGGACUGCCUGUGGGGACAUGCUGUUCUCUCUGACUCCAGCUGCCAGCCUUCCACGUGUGUCCUGCCCAGCCUGUAAUCUGGCUGUGGGAGUCUGAGGAGGACAGCCUGUUCUGAGCCACUCUCUGUGACCUCUCUGUGGAAUGCUGACCUGUGACCUUACCCCAGACUCAGAGCUGAGUGAGACACCCCAAGGGAAUGAGAAAGGUGCCCAGGAGGAGACCUGAGGGGGCCAUGAGAACUCCCAGAUGUUUAGGAACAUUAGCAGGGUGGUUCCAUUUGCAGACUCCGGCUGCUGGCCACACAUUUCCCAAAGUGCUUUUUUUUUUCUCUCUCUCUCUCUGUUCCAUUUGCCUCUGCUUCCUUCCUGUCCCCAGCCAGCAACAGUGGCUAUGCUGAAGAGCUUCCAUCUGGAAGAAGACCUGCUCUGUUCAGACAUUUUACUUAUAUAAUUCAAUUUAGUUCUUAUGCCAACCGGUGGCCAGGAUAUGGAUAUGGGAACUGAAGUUAGCAGGCAGUAGUUUGUCCAAGAAACACACCUACUUUCUGGCUGGAAUUUUGCUUGCUUGAGUUUUUGCUUUGUUUGUUUGUUUGUUUAUUCAUUUCUUUUGGUUUUGUUUACGUGCUUGUUCACUUUGAGACAAGGUCUCUAUGGAGCCCUGGCUGUCCUAGAACUUGCUGUGUAGACCAGGCUGGCCUCUACGUUAACUCACAGAGAUCCACCUGCCUCUCUAUCUCCUGAGUAUUGGGAUUAAAUUUGUGAACUACUGGGCCCGGCUUUGAUUUUAUUUGAAUUUUUGAGACUGGGUCUACGUGGCCAAAGCUGACCUUAAACUCACUAUGUGUCUCCAGGAUGACCUUGAACUUCUGGCAGUGUCCCUUUAUCAAGAUCCUUUGCAAUUAAGCUUUGUGCCUCGAUGCCUGGCUUGUGUAUCUAUCUAAGAAUAGAACCCAGAGCGUUGAGUGUAACAUAGAACACACUACUGAGCUACACCCCCGGCUCCUUGAUUUACACUCUUAUUAUAAUAAAUGUCAAACACACAGAGAUUGUCAACACAAUGAAUUCCCUUGUUCUCACCACCAAGCCCUGGCAUAUACCUUUGGGUCCGCUAGAAAAAGGUCCCCUUCCUCCAGGGUCCUCAGCCUCGUAAGCAGAUGGUGGGCUGAAUUUCAGCCCUCUCUGUCCCUUGGGCUGGGCACUUUGUGCUGUGAACAGUCCAUGUAACUGUAUAUGACAACCCUGCCUAAGAGUCCUUCUUCUCAACUUGCUUUUGGCAUGACAAAAAGCACCCACAGCCAGACACCUGGCAGAGUGUUGAUUGCGAUAGUCAAUGCUUUGCUAAGUGGGACACAGGGAGAAAAGCUCGGACGCUGGGGACUCCCCGAAUUCAUAGUAAGCCGGGAGAUAAUUCCAGAGGAGACUGCUUAUAUACAGAGGAGGAGAGGAGGGAGGAGACAGAUGAACUGUGUCCUGCUGCUCCGAUUUCCUGCAGCUCCCCGCACCCGAUGUCUCCAGGAUGUACACACACACACACACACACACACACACACAUGCUUCCCCCUUCCCUUCUGUGCCUGGGGGACAAGGGAGGUGCUUGUCUGUAGCCAUCACAGUCCAGGGCUGGCAGAAGGAAGUAGGUGGAGCCCAGGGUGUGAAAACCCAGUGUGAACUGUGCAGCUACCCCCCUGGAUGUCCUUACUGGAACAUCCUCUGCCCCCCGGGUGGCUAGAUUGUCUGAGGCUCUGCUUAGCCAAGGGUCGGGUGGGAGUGCUACUUUUGCACCUGGAGAGCUAUUUCUUUAAAUCCCAAGCAGGCCCUGUGGGUGAUCAGACGUGGGGCUUCUUCAGGGUACCUGGUGUGUAUGUGUGUAUUUGUAACUGCUGUGUUCUUGGCUAUGCCCAGUGCUGUAUUUAGUAUUGGUGUGCAAAUAAGCAUUAGACAGAUGUAUAUUAUACAAUUAAUGUUACAAAGUAUCCCAUGGAACAGAGAAAUGUGCCAGAGGGAGGGUCCAGGCUGCUGCUUCAUGCCUCUGACUGCAUCUCAGGGAUAACCAAACUCUGACGUUCAGUGGCUUGACACAGUUGAUGUGUGGAAUUUUGUUGUUGCUUCUUGAAACAGUGUCUGUCUAUGUAACCCUGCCUCUCUGGGAACUUGCUAUGUAGACCAGGCUGGCAUCUAACUCAGAGACCCACCUUCCUUCUGCCUCUCAAGCGCUGGGAUUAAAGAGGUGUGUCCACACCACCACAUCUGGCUCCCCGUGCAUUUUGCUCAUGGGGCAUCUAAUGUGCCUGAGGUAGUCUUGACUUGUGACAACUCCAUCUGGAACCUGGGAGGUGGUGGCAGGAGCAGAAGAGGGAGGAAGAACCAUUUACUUAGAAGGCAGAGGCAGGUGGAUAUCUGCAAAUUCAAGCUAGCCUGGUCUACAUAGAGAGUUUCAGGCCAGACUGGACUACAUAGUGAGACUUUGUCCUCUCCUCCCC